AAAUUUAUUUUAUGGGCUUUCACUUGCAAAUCUUUUCAGGUUCAUUUCACUCGAUAUAAGUUCUGUUACUUCAGUCACGUUAUACCAAUCCAAUCAUUCUCUUUCAGUGUACAGUGUAGGGAGCAUGCUUCACUGGACAGUCCUUAUAUUGCCAGUUUUGCUCAGAAUAAUCAUGAACUAUUCCUGCUUAUAGAUUUAAAUUACAAGAUAGCAAGACAUGUACUACUUGAUGUAGAUAUGGAUACUACUAUAGGAUGUACAAUGCAAAUCCAUUGCUGGACUUGCACGUCCAAGCGAUAUAGGAUGUCCAAUAAAAAACUUGACUGGAAUAAACUUUUGGCUCGCUGAACUUUUGAGACCUAACUUACAAAUUUUAUAGUUUGGUAAUAUAUAGAAUAGAAAUGAACAUUUGGCUUGCUGAACUUGGUGUUUCUUUCUGCAGCACGGUGAUUUCAGAAGUACGGUCAAAUGGAAGGCUGGAGGAAGAUUUUUGAUAUGGCAAAGGCAUCAGUAAGGACAUGAGACAAGAGGUAAUAUUCUUUUAUUGUUGCCCUCUGCUACUAGAUUGUACUGUUGAAAUUGAGCAGCCAAAAAUUCAAGUUGAUAAUGCAUUGAUAUAUCUCUCAUGUAUUAACUUGGUAGUGAUGACAAUGGAAAAUGUAUGAAUAUGCAGCCUUCACAGUAAAAAGGUAAAAUAGUACUUUCAUUUUGUUUGUUUUGCUCUAGAUAUAUGUGACAAUUGGUCAUAUAUAUGCAGGCCUGACUUGUUUCUUCGAAGGGGACAAAUUUGUCCAAUAUAUGCAGGUCUGACUUGUUUCUUCAAAGGGGACAAAGUUGUCCUCUUCAUAAUACUCAAGGACUAAGCUAAAAAAAGUCAAGGACACAACUGCCAGCUUGACAUAUUUGGGUUUAACUAUCUCUUUUGUUUGCUUCCUUCAUUGUUAUUACUUUUGUCGUG
rnacentral:lncRNA from 1 species